rnacentral:rRNA from 1 species
AGCGAACGCUGGCGGCAGGCCUAACACAUGCAAGUCGAACGAUCCUUUCGGGGUUAGUGGCGGACGGGUGAGUAACACGUGGGAACGUGCCUUUAGGUUCGGAAUAACUCAGGGAAACUUGUGCUAAUACCGAAUGUGCCCUUCGGGGGAAAGAUUUAUCGCCUUUAGAGCGGCCCGCGUCUGAUUAGCUAGUUGGUUGAGGUAAUGGCUCACCAAGGCGACGAUCAGUAGCUGGUCUGAGAGGAUGAUCAGCCACAUUGGGACUGAGACACGGCCCAAACUCCUACGGGAAGCAGCAGUGGGGAAUCUUGCGCAAUGGGCGAAAGCCUGACGCAGCCAUGCCGCGUGAAUGAUGAAGGUCUUAGGAUUGUAAAAUUCUUUCACCGGGGACGAUAAUGACGGUACCCGGAGAAGAAGCCCCGGCUAACUUCGUG